rnacentral:rRNA from 1 species
AAGUGUCCUGUGAAAGCGCACGGCUCAACCGUGGAAUUGCAAGGGCAACUGCCUGGCAUGAGUUCGGUAGAGGGGCCUGGAACUCUCGGUGGAACGGUGAAAUGCGUAGAUAUCGAGAGGGAAUGCCGGAGGCGAAAACGGGGCACUGGGCCGACACUGACGCUGAGACCCGAAAGCGUGGGGGAGCAAAACAGGAAUUAGAAUACCCCUGGGUAGUCCAACGCCCGUUAAACGAUGCAACACUAGACGUCGGGAGGUUCUGACACCAUCGGCGUCGCAGCAAAAGUACUAAGUGUGCCGCCUGGGGAGUACGGCCGCAAGGCUAAAACUCAAAGGAAUUGACGGGGGCUCACACAAACGGUGGAGCAUGCGGCUUAAUUCGAAGCAACGCGAAGAACCUUACCCGGGUUUGACAUGCUUGGAUGCUCUCUGGGGAUAACUCAGAGUUGCUGCCCUUCGGGGUGAAACUUGCACAGGUGUUGCAUGGCUGUCGUCAGCUCGUGCUGUGAAGUGUCGGGUUAAGUCCCUUAACGAGCGAAACCCCUAUCGCUAGUUGCCAGCGGGUCAUGCCGGGGACUCUAGCGAGACUGCCGGCGUUAAGCCGGAGGAAGGUGGGGACGACGUCAAGUCAUCAUGGCCUUUAUGCCCGGGGAUGCACACGUGCUACAAUGGCGUGUACAGAGCGACGCGAGACCGCGAGGUGGAGCAAAUCGCAAAAAGCACGCCCCAGUUCGGAUUGGAGUCUGCAAUUCGACUCCAUGAAGUUGGAAUCGCUAGUAAUCGUGCAUCAGCUACGGCGCGGCGAUAUGUUCCUGAGCCUUGUACACACCGCCCGUCAAGUCAUGGAAGCUGGUAGUACCCGAAGUCCGCUU